rnacentral:rRNA from 1 species
GGACGGGUGAGUAACACGUAGGUAACCUGCCCCAAAGCGGGGGAUAACAUUUGGAAACAGAUGCUAAUACCGCAUAACAAUUUGAAUCGCAUGAUUCAAAUUUAAAAGAUGGCUUCGGCUAUCACUUUGGGAUGGACCUGCGGCGCAUUAGCUUGUUGGUAGGGUAACGGCCUACCAAGGCUGUGAUGCGUAGCCGAGUUGAGAGACUGAUCGGCCACAAUGGAACUGAGACACGGUCCAUACUCCUACGGGAGGCAGCAGUAGGGAAUCUUCCACAAUGGGCGCAAGCCUGAUGGAGCAACACCGCGUGAGUGAAGAAGGGUUUCGGCUCGUAAAGCUCUGUUGUUAGAGAAGAACGUGCGUGAGAGCAACUGUUCACGCAGUGACGGUAUCUAACCAGAAAGUCACGGCUAACUACGUGCCAGCAGCCGCGGUAAUACGUAGGUGGCAAGCGUUAUCCGGAUUUAUUGGGCGUAAAGCGAGCGCAGGCGGUUUGAUAAGUCUGAUGUGAAAGCCUUUGGCUUAACCAAAGAAGUGCAUCGGAAACUGUCAGACUUGAGUGCAGAAGAGGACAGUGGAACUCCAUGUGUAGCGGUGGAAUGCGUAGAUAUAUGGAAGAACACCAGUGGCGAAGGCGGCUGUCUGGU